rnacentral:lncRNA from 1 species
UAAUCUAGAAUAAUCACCCGACAAUUAAUAAAUCAUCUUUUCAUGUUGAAAUAAUCGUCUUUGGCAUAAUGUAUGAACUAAUGCAUAAUAGUAUACAAACGUACCAUAUUCACUUCUUCAUUCCUCUGUGGGGGAAGAUUUUUUAAGAUCAUUGGUGACAAAUACAAGGUACAUGACGAUCAUCAUGCUGAGGCUUUUAAGGAUCUGUAGUCUUUGUUGCUGUUGAGUGGACCUUGCUUUGAAGGCGUUAUGCAAGGAUAUUCCCCAAGAGGAAUGAAGGAGGACGCCCUCUAAUUUCUUGCUUUAGGAGCUUUGAUCUUAGCCCUUUUGGCCUCAAUAUCAGUUGCUCAUAGAGAUGUGAGGACACCAGCAGAAACCCACCCGCCAAUACUGACAAUAUGAUCUUUGCUACUACCACUAACAGAUCUUCUUCAAUUUUUCUGACCUUCCAUCUACUGCUGCUUGUAAAUCUUCCUUUCUCAUCCUAUGGUAUAUGACUGUUAUUCUCACUGAGGUCUAUGGCUCUGUUUAACUAUUAA